rnacentral:snRNA from 1 species
UUGCUUCAGUGGCAUAUAUACUAAAAUCGGAAUGAUAAUGAGAGAUUAGCAUGGCUCCUAUGCAAGGGUGACAUGCAAAUUUGUGAAGCAUUCUUUAUUUUU